GCCCAUCCGCGGGCCGGGCGGGAGCGAGGCACAUCGGCUGAGGUAAAAACCCUGAAAUUGUGAGGUAAACCCCCCGUAUUCCUGAGGUUAAAGCUAAUAUUCCCGAGGUAAAGCCCUCUAAUCUUGAGGUAAAACGCCGCACUGGGCCCUACGCGGGGCUCGUAGACACUUCUCGGGGCUGCGGGCGGGACGGCUCCACCGCGGCGUCCAGAGGGACAGAGUGACGCUCGGAAGGACGCUCCCAGGGACGUUCCUUCAGCGCCCGCCGUGCUCUCUGAGCGCCCCGCGCAGAUUCUCGCCCUCAGGGCUCUGCAGCCAGGCCGGCUCCCUCUCCGUCACCUUUCCUAAAGUGUAUUUAUAGAUGUAGCAGCCAGCAGGAUGGCUGGGUGCAGGUAGCAUCAAGAAUCGUCGGGGUGCUGCUUAAAUUCGUUUACUUGGGAAGCCUGAUUUCUAUCAGAAUGCAAGCAGUGGUGUUCAUGUGGCUGCUGUGUUUAAAAAUGCUGUUCUCUAUGGCGUUUGUAUUUCUGGUAGGAAAGAAAAAUGAAUUAGAGAGGCUGCAGUGCUGGGUUGGUGUAGCCAAAGGCCCCUGAUGCACAUGAAGGGCAGUUUGAGGCAGUUACAUCCCCUGUUUGUUCAGGUACUGAGUGCCUAAACCUUGAAAAUGACCAGUCCUGCAAAGGAUACCCACUUCUUAUCCACUCCCCAGAGAGGUGGGCAGCAGUGUUGGUGUAACAGAGGAGUUAGGACUCAGGUGGAUGUAACUGAGAGUGAUCGGAGCUGUUGGGAAAGCACUUUCAGACUCACUGACUUUCAGCCUGGUGAGUUCUCUGUUCCAGUCCUCACUGUGGCCCCAAGGAGAAGCAGGAACUCAAUAAAUAAAAGCUCUCUGCUAUGGAGGUAUAGCUGUAAUAAACACAGUUCUGCCUCGCAUCUCUCAGUGUGCUUCUUCCAUGUCUCCCCUAACUUUUGCUAUCUGCAGACAAAACGAUUUCACUUCUUUCCCCAUGAGCCCUAGUUUUAGACCUCUGAAUGUAUAUGUUUUUUCCCCACCCAUUUUCUCUUAAAACCAUCCACGUUUUGCUGAACCACAGCACCCAAGACUGGACACAGAGCUACAGUCAAGUCCACCAGCAUCUAUGUCAUGCCCAUCAUACACUGUAUUCCAGUUUAAACACGCCAGUACAAAGACUUUUCAGACAGUGAUCUAUUCACAGUAUUGCUGACCUGUUUUACCCCAUCAUCCAUUUCUCCUGACCUACCAGUUAUUUCUCCUUCAAGUAGACAGUAAUGCUACUCAAGAAUGAUUUAUUGCAACUGUUGUAAUCCUUUCCGUUCUUUUUUAUUGCUGGAUAGAUGGACAAUCAAGCAGUCAAGACAUCUUUUAAAACAAAAUUCCACAUGCUUUUAAGUAAGAAAAUAGUAAAACCUGCCAUCUUUGUAAGUCAACUGUAUUCCUGGGUUAGAACUGUGUUAUGGUUACGGAAUUAUUUAUACAGAAUUAAAACUUUAAGUUCACCUAAAGCAACUUAGCUAAAAUAACCUAAAUGCAAACCAUGGUCUGUAACAAAUAAUUCAAGUCAGUUUAUUGUCUACAUCAGUGUUAGGUAAAUUUUUGCAAAAAUGGUAACUUCCCAUUACUCUGAUAAAUGAGAAACCAAACCUGCAGAUGCACAUAUUUUGCUUUCUUACUUGUACUUAAUUCUGUUACUUUUGUUUAUCAGCCUAAUUCUGAAGUACUCUGAUUUAUUCACUGCCCCCUGCUCUUGUUUCUUCUAAACAUUGUGCAGGUCAUAAGGUUACUGAUGUCAAACUGUAAAAGGGAAGUUCUUGCAGAGAGUGAUGGCUGGACAGGCUGCUUAGAUGAAGUUGAGCAUGUCUUUUUAAAUGGUUGUGCUUAAGUCUUCCCAUUAUUAAAUUAAAUCAGUCAAUGUUAAAAAUCUAAAACUGAAGUGUCUGAUAUGAUUAUUUAUUGAAGUCUCUGUUGUAGAAGGGAUAAAACUCAAGACCACUAUCCCAGUUUGCUGUCCUGCCUGCAGGUUUUUUAUUUUUCAUUCUGUCAUUGUGAAACAGCUGUAAAAUCAGUUCUUCACUAUAGCUGCACAACGGGGUAAAGAAUGCAUUCAGAUAGUUCGGUUUCUCUGAAAACUGCUUCAUCUGUUAUUGUCCAUUCUGACUGUGUAGAGCACUUUAAUCGUGUGUUUUAUAUUAAGUGUACUUGUAUGGUAACAGUUAAAGAAAAAUGCUAGGUUUUUGGUGAACAAAGAAGGAUCUUACCUUUUCUUUAACACAUUGCCAGCAGAGUUUAUGGAGUUGCUUUCCCAUCUUUUUCCAGGUUGUCAUCUUUUUUCUGUUUUGGUCUGGAAAAUCUCCAUCUGUGAAGAGAUUUAGGAUCACAGCGUAAGAUACAAAUGUGAAACUGCUAAUAUUUAGGAGGAGCUGUUACUUGGCUUUCUCCUAUUUUCUUUUUGGUAUAGGUUUUGUAUAGCUUAAAAAUGAUUGCACAAAGCCCGGGCAGUGAUGGAGAAAAAUACAUUUAAAAAACUUCAGAUAUUUCGCACAUAUGGAUAUUUUGUAUAUAUUGUAUAUGUGUAAAUAUAUGAAAUAUAUAAAAUAUCAAUUUGCAGAAGUAAAAAUUAAAUGUCAUCGGAUAAGUUUCACAGGGAAUGAAGUUGUACAUGCAAGUGUGUAGGUGUGAAAAUAGUCAUGCAUGCAAUAUCUGCACCCCUUCCUGAAGAUCUACAAGAAAUAAAGUUUUUAACCACUGUAUUUCUCUUGCUGUCAAAGGCACAAGAUAGGCUUAUUCUUUUAAAAGUUACACUGCCUUACAGUUCCUAAAACCACGUAGAAAGGAAUUUCCACGGCCGGCUCUUUACCAGUCCUUUUUAGCACCCAAGCAGCCAGAACAGCAGUCAGGAGUCCUCCAAAACAGACAUUUUGCACCAGUGACUCAGAUUUGUUCCGCUUCACGUUUUUUGUGACUGAAGUUCCACUAUAGACCAUCUGUUACGGCCACUCGGGCAGGAAUACAAGCUCACAUCCACGUUGGUGUUCUGUCUGCUCUUUACAUAGAAACUUAUCAAACAGGAUUUGCUAAACAGAUAACAGUGUGGAAGACCCGCUCUACUGAGCAAUAAACAUAAAUGGAUUUACCUGGAGCUUGUAAAUGUUUCAGGAAACACAUCCAGCAUGUAUUUGUCUACAGUAAGGGUCAUAUAAUAGUCCAUAAAGAUCUCCUGUAAGUCAAAAGGAGCAUUAUCAGUGGGCCUAUGGGAUUAGUUCAGAUAUUCCCUGUACCAAUCCUAGUAAGCAAGAAAAGAUGUGAUCUCCCCAGAGAACUAAUUAUUCAGGCCAGCAGGAAGAAAGACCAGAAAGAGAAAAUGUUAUGGAGGAAGCAGCAGUGCUGUUUGAAGAGGCAAAUCAUUGUGUGAACAAGGCUUUUCUGAUGCAUCUUUUAACAAAAGUGAACAAGGUAGAAUCCUGCAUCAAAGUAACCGUCCUGCUCCAUCAAUUUGAUUGAAACAGUACCAUCUGACAUUUUUUUUACUUUUGAAUCAAAUUUAUCUGGAUCAAAAAAAAAUUAUUUCAGCUGUUUAUAGUGCAGUUGAUUUCUGCUUUCUUAUGUUUCAUAUUUUGGGGGGGAAUGGUAUGAUCAAUUUUUGGGCAAUGUUUAUAAUCAAUGCCAAAUCUCAGUAAUAAGAAGCUUGUGCUGCUUGCAUCAGUGCUUCUCUAUGUCUCGGCUAAGUAAUAACACUGUCCAUGCCCUCAGGAACUGGAAUCCUGAUAUGCACAUUUGGAAUGAGGAUUUUAGGGUCACAGACACAACUACCCGAAUGGGAACUAAGUCUUCUUCACUGUUUAUAGACACUGCAUCACUUGAAGUCUCUUUCUGUAGUCAACGUGUUGUCUCCUAGUUUAAAGCCGUCCAUCCAUCCAUUAAGAUGAGCACCCUCUGGUCUGGCCCAGCUUCCUACAUCACCAUGCUCCAAGAGAAACAAAAUGGAUACAACAGCAGUAUGUGGUUAAGGUGUGCAACAGUACUUCAAGUGUGUGAACUGCUUUCAUAGCGCUUCGCAAGUCUCCAGCAAGGGUCACCAGUGCCUGAAAACACUGAUAUGCCAAGGAAGCCAAUUCCCUGUGGGAGCAUGACUGUGCUCCACACACAGAAAUUUCCCCUUCUGUCACUUGGCAUAGUUCAGUAUGUGACUUGCUAAUUCAAAAUAUAAACAGAGAGGAACCAGGGCCAAUAGUUGAAGAGCUGCAAGCAGAAUUCUCAGUCCUUCCCAGAGCAGCCAAAUUCAGAAACACCAGGAACACACAGAAGAACAGUGAUUUUGCCCACAUCCAGUUGGCUGACAGUGAAGAGGAGCGAUCCCAUGACUGUACAGCUCAGACGAGAACAGCAUGAAGCAUUUCCGUUCCCAAUUCUACAAAAAGUCCUUUGUCACUUUGAGAAAGUUCCUUUAACAUCCUUUCAUAUCCCACUAGUCCCCUCUGAAAGCGGCUGCUAGAGAAAGUUUUGUGGGCUGAAGUCAGAUUUGGACUAGAUUAAUGCACGACGCUGAAUCUACAUGCAUACCAAGCUGAGUAAUUGUAUUGCAAGACAAUUAACACUUAGAUUUAUUCUAGGCAAUAUUUUAUUUGGGAUGGGGUGCAGCCCAAAUGGUAGAGGAAAAAGGCCAGAAAACUGUUGUGAUCAUUUAGUCUGGUGAGAGAUACAACUCAUUUCUCAAAAAAACCAAAAAGAAGUCCAGCCGUAGUCCAGUGCCAUGGUGUCCCCUAGGUACAGGCAAGUAGCUGGAAUGCGCCCCUAUCCCCCUUUAUAAAGUACCUUAUUUCCCAUUUGACUGAUGUUUUGAACGGCGUCCUAUUUCAGCUCACAGGCACUCAUCCUGUCAGACUCUGACUAUUGUAAUAAGAGCCUUUUAUUACCAAAUUUUCUCUGUAUAAAGUCAUUAGCUGAAGAACAAAGUCUGCAGCACUCACAAGCUGUGGAAGGUGGGAUAUUCCUCUUUACAUCCUUCUGUCUUCAUUCUGUGGUUUUCUCCAGCACACAAGAUGCAGUACAGGGUCUGGCAGGGGAUGAGUUUAUGGUGCUGGGGCUCAUACUGUCCACUAUCAGAUUUGGAGCGCAGGUCCCAAAGCAGCACAUGCCCUCAGUACAGCACAAGUCACUCCAUCUUUAGAGGACACUCACUCACAUGCACUUCAGAGAGACCAUGAGCUUCCUAGAAUUUGAAAUACAUAGGAUUCAGGCCAGCUCAGGAUUUACAACUUGCAUUGGUAAGUAGUGCUAUUGGCACUUACCGUAUGUUUCCUUACGGAGAAAGCAACAAAUGCAAGCGAACUUCAACAGAAAUGAAACAAUGAUAAAAACAAACAUUGGGGAAAACAUCAAAAUACAAAUUUGUACUCCAAACGUUUAGACAGUGCUAAAUCUAGAUGUGUAUCAGGCUAAGUUAACCAGAGACAGGAAGAAAUUCAGAAAUCGUCAGUCCUAGAUGAAAAGUGUAUUAGGUAGUUUUCUUUUACAUAGCUACUUCCUAAGUGUCCCCUUCACAAAGGGCACUUAAAAGCAGGUUCAUGGUGCAAGGGAAGCAGUUAAUAGCACCAGCACCAUUUCCUUUGCAGUGAUUCUCCCAGCAAUGCAGCCGCCCCCUGCAGCACUGGUACAGCUGAUGGUGCCCCACACCCUUGGAGUUGCACUGACAGCUUUUUCUGCUCUGUAUUACAAAGCCUUCAGAGGCAGCAUUGGUUCCACCAGAGGAUUCAUAGUUUUCUGAAAGGACAACAGCUGCCCGUGCUCCACCUGAGUGCAGCUGAAGAGUUGAGGUCUGCAGCUGAGUGAACACAGCUUUCCUCCCUUACAUUAUUUAACAAUAAAAGGGAGACAGAGGCAAUACGUGACUUCAGCCAAGUUACAAUUCUUCAGAGUAGUUUAGGACGCAUUAUAUGUACUGCUGUGGUUUUCCAUGACUUGGGGAAAGCCUAAGUGUGUAUUGAGAAACGUCUUCAACUUUCCCAGAAUAAAGGCUGUGAAUGACUGCAGCUACUUAAGACCUGCCUUGGUUUCUAAGGAAGAUUUUAAGGGCACUGUCAGUGGCAUUAGUGCAUUAAAUACAACAACAGUAACCUGCCAGUAACCAAACAGACCUGGCAGGAAAGCGCCAUGGGUUUGUCAAACUUCAGUGAAAUUAAACACUUGCUCUGUCAUCUCUGUUCCUUACAAAUUACAGCGCAGCCUUCACACAUCUCAUGCUGUUAUCCCAACUGUGCACAGCAGUAAGAGCCACUGCUGUUUAUAACACACACUCAGAAACACAGCAAGCAAAUCGAGUCUUCAGCAGUGGUCAGAAGGCAACAGCCUUCACGUGCCCCACCAGCUCUCACUUCAGCCACCUCUUUCGCACCCGUUCCAUUGCUCAGGCUCCACAGAACGGUUUGAGUUGGAAGGGACCUUGAAAGGUCAUCUAGUCCAGCUCCCAUCUAGUGAAGAUGAACAGGGACUUGCUGUUUGCAUUCCACCCUUUGGCUCUUCAGCAACAGACCACAAAUAAAUACUCAUCGGGAUUGCUUUAGCUUCACCCCCAGCAAAGAGCCUUCAUGUAACUUUUCCUUGGGGCUACUUGGGUCACAGCCUGGAGCCCCUGUCUCUGAAGAGGUUUCUCCCUCCUGCAUUCAACCCAACCCACUGCUUCCAAGUCAGAUUUAUUGCAGCCUGCUCACGGUGUGCAGCAGUCACACAGGCUCUGCCCAGCCACACUGAGGUCAGACCACGCAGGUACCACUUCAUAGAUCCCAAGUUACUGAUCUGAGCCAGAAGACUCAGUAAUGACUUCUGCUGUGUUGUGACACGGCUUCAGCUGGGGCAGCGGGAGAGAACGUAGGAUGAGCACUGCAGUGUUUCACUGGGACAGGGAAAGGUUGGGGAUUUCUCAGCCCGCAGCCUGCCUGGCUGGUAUUAUCUCUUCACUCAUCUGUUUUUCUUCACGUGUGUUUUACUCCCUCUGGGGCAUUGGCUGCACCUCCAGCCACAGUGCAAGGUGAGCACAUAGCACGGCUCAGAAGUCAGU